rnacentral:lncRNA from 1 species
GAGAGAGAGAGUGCAAAAGAGCACAAGCAGGGGGAGAAGAAGAGGAAGAGGGAGAAGCAGGCUCCCAGGAUCCCAGCAGGCUUGAUCUCAGGACCCCGGGAUCAUGAUGUGAGCUGAAGAUAGACCCUUAACCAACUGAGCCACCCAGGCACCCUGACCCACCCAUCUUGUUACAAUGGCUUUGUGCCCUCAAUGUCAUGUUGGUUCAUGCCUGGGAAGACCAUAGUGAAGUCAAAAAAGGGUCGGCGAUCCGCGGGCGCCUGAGUGCGGCGGCGGCAGCUGCUCCCAGGAGGCGAAGGCAAAGAAACUGA